rnacentral:rRNA from 1 species
AACGAACGCUGGCGGCAGGCCUAACACAUGCAAGUCGAGCGCGCCCUUCGGGUGAGCGGCGGACGGGUUAGUAACGCGUGGGAAUGUACCCUUCUCUAAGGAAUAGCCUCUGGAAACGGAGAGUAAUACCUUAUACGCCCUUCGGGGGAAAGAUUUAUCGGAGAGGGAUCAGCCCGCGUUAGAUUAGAUAGUUGGUGGGUAACGCCUACCAAGUCUACGAUCUAUAGCUGGUUUUAGAGGAUGAUCAGCAACACUGGGACUGAGACACGGCCCAGACUCCUACGGGAGCAGCAGUGGGGAAUCUUAGACAAUGGGGGCAACCCUGAUCUAGCCAUGCCGCGUGAGUGACGAAGGCCCUAGGGUCGUAAAGCUCUUUCGCCAGGGAUGAUAAUGACAGUACCUGGUAAA